UGAUGUAGAGCCUGAAGAGCUUGUUCCUCACGAGGAACUGCAGACAACAAACCCAGCUCAAGCCCUUCUCCUCAAGACAAGGCAGAGCCUGAUGCUAUGCAGCAGGGAGAGCCAUCAGGAAUCUCAGAAGAGCCCAGUAAUGAGCCAGCUGCACAAAAGAGACCGAGACAGAGGCUACAGUGCUUGCAUUGCUGCUAGGUGACAAUGUCUUAAGUCAGAGAACAACGUUCUAGAUCCAGUUUUUCUACAUUCUGCCAAUGAAGGAACUACACCACAACCACGGAGCAUCCCCCCCCCCCUUGGCAACUGAUGGCUGACUCAGAUAACCCUCAACAUUAAUUUUAUUUAUGUGAUUUUUUUUGGCCUUCAUACCAAUUUAGUAAAAUACAUUUUUUAUCCUAAUGAGGUUUAAUGUCAGACCUCUUGUAUCCCCUUGGUUUAUUUCAUUCCCUUCCAAAAUGGGAGAAUCUUUCCCUGUUUAGAUGAUUUCUCUGUCCUGAUAUCUUUGCAUUUCUAACACUUGUAGACUUCUGUGUUGUUCAGACCAAUAUUAAAGGAUUCAACCAGCA